rnacentral:rRNA from 1 species
UACGAAGGGGGGCUAGCGUUGCUCGGAAUGACUGGGCGUAAAGGGCGCGUAGGCGGAUGGCACAGUCAGAUGUGAAAUUCCCGGGCUUAACCUGGGGGGCUGCAUUUGAUACGUGUUGUCUUGAGUUCGGAAGAGGGUCGUGGAAUUCCCAGUGUAGAGGUGAAAUUCGUAGAUAUUGGGAAGAACACCGGUGGCGAAGGCGGCGACCUGGUCCGACACUGACGCUGAGGCGCGAAAGCGUGGGGAGCAAACAGG